rnacentral:rRNA from 1 species
UACGAAGGGGGCUAGCGUUGCUCGGAAUUACUGGGCGUAAAGCGCGCGCAGGCGGUUUUCCAAGUCAGUGGUGAAAGCCCGGAGCUCAACUCCGGAACUGCCAUUGAAACUGUUGAACUUGAGGACGAGAGAGGUGAGUGGAAUUCCCAGUGUAGAGGUGAAAGUCGUAGAUAUUGGGAAGAACACCGGUGGCGAAGGUGGCGACCUGGUCCAUUACUGACGCUGAGGCGCGAAAGCGUGGGGAGCAAACAGG